rnacentral:misc_RNA from 1 species
CUUGGAUUGCAGUAGUUUGUUUAACAAGACAUGUUUGUGAAUUAAUGAAACUUGUAAUGUUUCAAAGGUUUAAAUAUACACAUAAAAAAUUAAUUACUCUGUUCUCCAUCUUCCUAACCUUCAUGACAGUGGGGACAGUUUAUUACAACGUGAACAUACAACAUCCUAUUUUAAAGUUAGAGAUUAUAUUAAGUGUUUUAACAACCCUUUUGGAAGCCAC